UACGUAGGGGGCAAGCGUUGUCCGGAAUCAUUGGGCGUAAAGAGCGUGUAGGCGGCUCGGUAAGUCCGCUGUAAAAGUCCAGGGCUCAACCCUGGAAAGCCGGUGGAAACUGUCGAGCUAGAGUCCGGAAGAGGCGAGCGGAAUUCCUGGUGUAGCGGUGAAAUGCGCAGAUAUCAGGAGGAACACCAAUGGCGAAGGCAGCUCGCUGGGACGGUACUGACGCUGAGACGCGAAAGCGUGGGGAGCAAACAGG
rnacentral:rRNA from 1 species